rnacentral:rRNA from 1 species
UACGAAGGGACCUAGCGUAGUUCGGAAUUACUGGGCUUAAAGAGUUCGUAGGUGGUUGAAAAAGUUGGUGGUGAAAUCCCAGAGCUUAACUCUGGAACUGCCAUCAAAACUUUUCAGCUAGAGUAUGAUAGAGGAAAGCAGAAUUUCUAGUGUAGAGGUGAAAUUCGUAGAUAUUAGAAAGAAUACCAAUUGCGAAGGCAGCUUUCUGGAUCAUUACUGACACUGAGGAACGAAAGCAUGGGUAGCGAAGAGGAUUAGAUACCCUCGUAGUCCAUGCCGUAAACGAUGUGUGUUAGACGUUGGAAAUUUAUUUUCAGUGUCGCAGCGAAAGCGAUAAACACACCGCCUGGGGAGUACGACCGCAAGGUUAAAACUCAAAUGAAUUGACGGGGACCCGCACAAGUAGUGGAGCAUGUGGUUUAAUUCGAAGAUACGCGCAGAACCUUACCAACACUUGACAUGUUCGUCGCGACUCUAAGAGAUUAGAGUUUUCGGUUCGGCCGGACGAAACACAGGUGCUGCAUGGCUGCCGUCAGCUCGUGUCGUGAGAUGUUGGGUUAAGUCCCGCAACGAGCGCAACCCUCACUUUUAGUUGCCAUCAUUAAGUUGGGCACUCUGAAAGAACUGCCAGUGAUAAGCUGGAGGAAGGUGGGGAUGACGUCAAGUCCUCAUGGCCCUUACGUGUUGGGCUACACACGUGCUACAAUGGUAUCUACAACAGGAAGCAAGACUGCGAAGUUAAGCAAAUCCCUAAAAGAUACCUCAGUUCGGAUUGCACUCUGCAACUCGAGUGCAUGAAGCUGGAAUUACUAGUAAUCGUGGAUCAGCGUGCCACGGUGAAUGCGUUCCCGGGUCU